rnacentral:rRNA from 1 species
AGUGAACGCUGGCGGUAGGCCUAACACAUGCAAGUCGAACGGCAGCACAGUAAGAGCUUGCUCUUACGGGUGGCGAGUGGCGGACGGGUGAGGAAUACAUCGGAAUCUACUUUUUCGUGGGGGAUAACGUAGGGAAACUUACGCUAAUUCCGCAUACGACCUACGGGUGAAAGCAGGGGAUCUUCGGACCUUGCGCGAUUGAAUGAGCCGAUGUCGGAUUAGCUAGUUGGCGGGGUAAAGGCCCACCAAGGCGACGAUCCGUAGCUGAUCUGAGAGGAUGAUCAGCCACACUGGAACUGAGACACGGUCCAGACUCCUACGGGAGGCAGCAGUGGGGAAUAUUGGACAAUGGGCGCAAGCCUGAUCCAGCCAUACCGCGUGAGUGAAGAAGGCCUUCGGGUUGUAAAGCCCUGUUGUUGGGAAAGAAAAGCAGCAGGUGAAUACCCCGCUGUUCUGACGGUACCCAAAGAAUAAGCACCGGCUAACUUCGUG